rnacentral:lncRNA from 1 species
GUGAGCUCAUCGCUAGCUGGGCUUAGGGGUUAAAUAAAAAGGAGAGGAAGUCAAAAUCCCAACUGGAGGUGUGAUGCCUGCCUGUGGAGGGCUGGUCCAGGGCUGAGGGGGAGUUGAGGAAGAGGGACAGAGGGAGUGAGAGGGUUAAGUUACACAGGAUGAAGAGAAGGAAAUGCUGAGGUGUUGAUCUCACUGAAAAGUUGCUUGAGCUGCUGAGCAGUGGCCCCGGUCUCCUGCUCUCUCUCUGAAAGUUUACAAGUCGACUGUGCAGUACAACUAAGGGGGAGCGCCACGGAGGACUGCGAGACUGCAUGAAUUUAGAGUCCCUGACAGCAGCCCUAGAGAAGGUAUACAGACGAGGAGGCAUACAAAGGCCUCUGGAUCCAAAUGUCAAUUCCAACGGAGGCAGCAUCAGUCUGGGCCCAGCCGUGUGUGACGUGAGAGAGUGAAACAACGAGAGAGUGAAAGACAGAGAGAGAGGAAGAGAAGGAGGAGGAGGGGUCUCUCCGAUGAUAACCCUGAGUGUACCAUACAUGGCUCUCUAGUAGCCACCAUUUUAAAUUGGCCCUUACAGUGCACUGCGGCGGCUGACCUAGAGUGAAAAUGUGAUGAGCUUUGCUAUCAUCCCCG